rnacentral:lncRNA from 1 species
UUAAAAUUUUGACAGGAAGACGUUCAGUUAAAAAUUAAAUACAGACAUUGAUCUUCAUUUGGCAGUUUCCUUUUCUUCAUAAAAUGAGCAAAGUUAGAUGUGUAUUCGUAGUUGGACAUACCACACCUGUCCUUGCGCUAGUUCUCUGAAAUAGGUAAGAAUUCAACAAACCUUCUUUUAUAUCAUAAAACUUUUUUAAGGACACUGAGUUUCUUUAAUUUCUGAGACGUUAGAUUUAUAAAACACAUGUAGACUUUUUAAGGCGUGAUGUAGCACGCACACGAAAAGAAUUACGAGACAACCGACGUGUUGGAGAUCAAAGAGGUUCUUUAAAAAAAACUAUAAAGACCAUUUGUUACAUAUCAUAUUUCAGGGCCCCUGUAUUUCUUUUGGUUACAAAAUAUAAUUAAACUGUUCAUAUGUACACAAAAAAAGUUUAGGAUAUUUCAGUUUUAAAAAUCUCAGUGUUGCCAUGUGUUUACGCUGUUUGAAAAGCGCGCUUUAUUUAUAAACCAGAUGAUACACUCCAAUCAGUAUUAAGCUUUCAAAAUACAAGGCAAGAAAAUUAAAGAACUCUCUCAAAACCUGAAAAGGAAUUUUGAAUAUCAAAUCAAUACUCGACGGACAAAUUUAGGGAAUGAAAUCUGAACUUUUGAAAAUGAUAUUGUACGUAUGUAUCGAAUACAGUAAAUUAUAAGCCUUUCACGGAUACUGUGGUUCUACUGUAAUGAUAUGCGCAGACAGAUUUAUGAUGAUAUAAUCAAAGAUAAAACUUUGACGGAGGAAGGAUAAAAUCUAGGACGCUUUCCCAAAAUUGAGAAAGACCUUUAUCGGACAGGAUAGUCGCAUCGAAGAAAAUUAAUUCUUUCCUUUUUCACAGUCCCAAAUCAGCAAGAAUAUGUGAUUAAUAAUAAAAACAACUCCUCAUCAGAUAUCCUAUAAAUAGUACGGGAAAGUCCAAGUCAGUAUUAAAUAUUCAUCAACAAACUAACUGUAACAUGAAACCAAAUACAUGAAUUUGGAUAGACAAGUACCGUGCCACGUCUUAUCUCAAUAUCUCAAAAAUAAGAGAAAACACAAACGAUCAACGUUAAAAUGCAACAACAAAGAGAAACGAACAAUAUUAUAACAAUGACCAUCUUCCUGACUUGUACAGGACACUUUUAAAGGGGAAUAAAAGUGGUGGGUUGAACCUGGUUUUAAGGCAUGCCAAACCUCGCACUUUAAUGGCAAAGUUAAAUACAACACCGAAACGACAACACACACCAACAGGACCACAACACAAACAAACAGGAAACAUAUUAGACACAGAAAAACAUGAUUAAUAGAUACAAAAGCAUCAGGUCCAAAAUUCAAUACGCCAAAAACGCGCCUUGCCACACAAGACUCACCAGUGACGCCAGAUAUAAAAGAUCGAACGUGAAAAAGUACAAAGUUGUACAGCACUGAAGAUCAAAAGUUGAAAAGGUUUCGCAAAAUACGGCAUUGUUUUUAUGCCCGGGAUAAGAACAUUCUUAUUAUAUAGAACAAUUCAUGCUAUUGCAAACAGUAAAUUUUAUCAAAUGAAUAUGAAAGAGAUAUAGCACCAAAGAAACUAAAGUAUUAACUAAUUACAGAAAAACUAACCUGAAUACAUAACGCCUAGAUAUAAAAGAUCGAACGUGAAAAAGGUACAAGUUUGUACAGCACUGAAGAUUAAAAGUUGAAAAGGUUUUGGACAAAUACGGCAUUGUUUUUAUGCACGGGAUAAGAACAUUUAUUAUAUAGAUACUUAAUGCUAUUGCAAACAGUAAAUGUUAACAAAUGAAUAUGAAAGAGAUAUAUAUAAUGAAACUGAAAUAUUAACUAAUUUCUACAUAUAUAAUUGCAUGAUUUUACACAUGAUAGCCAAGUUGAAAAAAGCUCAAUAAAUCUUAAAUAAAAUUUUGAAUCAUUACCAUCCAAGUCAGUAAACUUAUUAAUAUAUUAUAAACUCUGGGUAACAUUUUGUCUCUGCAUUUCUUUCAGACAAUAAAUUCAAAAUAAAAAAAUCACACUAGUCCUUUUCCAGCUCAAAAAAAGUUUUUACAGCGCACGGUAAAAUACUACUUUUGGGACAAACGGCGAAUCUAAGGUGGUGGAACCCCCCUUUUUGACGAUGAAUGCGUCUGAAUAGGUAUACAUAAGGUUGGAACCCAUCCUUUAUCCUGGAUUUGAACCCCUUUUAAAAAUGGCUGGACCCAAAUUAUAUCAAAAUUACAGAAAGGAAUAUAUGAGGAGAAAUAUGGUAUAAUUCUUUAUUAAAAAUGGGGGGGGGGUCUUUUUUGCUAAGGUUGAUUAGGUACUUUCAUACUUUUGUUAACGGGUAUUUUGAAAAUAUGUGUGCUGUUAACUGUUAUUCAAAUUAUCAAAUAACAAUUAAGGAAUUUUUAUCAAUGUUCGAUCUCCUUGGUUUUUUUUUCGAUCGAUAUAAAGUAUUAUAUUUUAUCAAUAGAUUAUAGAGGUAACUUUUUCUUAAAAAAAUGAUUCAGGUAAAAAUCAUUAAUCAAUUAUAUAUGUCGUACUGAGAUUUCUCUCGGCAACACUGACAUCCUAAUCCAGCCUUCUAUUUUGUAAGCGUUAGCUUAUACUCGAUCUAUGGUUAAACAGUGGCCCAGGAUCACAGUAUAUAGCAAUCAGUGAGCCAGAACCCGAGGCUACGAUUUGUCGUACAAUCUAAUAGGGUAGCUAAUUCUGCAGAGGUUUACCGCUUGUCGAGGUUUAAAUUUCCGCACCUUCUAUGCAGGAUCGAAAGUCAAACAUAUAUUGUUUGCAAUUAAGUUACAAUUUUAAUUUUACAUUUUGAUCAUUGUCAAUAAAUUUUUUUUGUUAUUUCAUUAUUUUAAUAAAUAUUUGAAUGAUUGAAAGUUGUGACCUCAGUUUACAUGCUUUACAACAAUUUAACAUUUAUUGUUGCAAUUUUCAUUAAUCAUGUUGAUGCAAAUUAAUUUCCGGAAUUUUCGAUUCUUUAAUAUGAAAUAUUAUAAAUAUAUAGAAAGAUGUCCUUAUGUUUUAUGUUAACCGGACUUUAACCAAAUGCCUUUGAUUUAUGUUAACAAAAAAAUCUGGUACAUGCACCCUACUGUCUAAACAUGAACCAAUUGUGAACUUGUGAUACAUGUUUUGAUAAUUUGCAAACAAAGAGUCUAGUUCUACGGUCUACAUCUCGAGUCCAUUAAAGCAUAAAGGGGGGGGGGGGCACUUUUUUAUGUUUUUCUUUUGGGGGGGGAGAUAAUUUAUAAUUUUACCCCCGCUUUAAAAAAAGGGGGGUAUACUGUUUUACCUCUGUCUGUCCUUCUGUCAGUCGUCAUCUCCGUCCGUCCCAUGAAUAUUUUUCGUCGCAUUUUUCUCAGGAACUACAUUACAAGGAUUUCUGAAAUUUGGUUUCAGGGUUUAUCUAAGUCAGCUAUACAGUGUGAUGCGUUUUCAGAUUGAUCACUUGACAACUUCCUGUUUACCGAACACUUGCAUGAUUUUACACAUGAUAGCCAAGUUGAAAAUUUUCGUCACAUUUUUCUCAGGAACUACAAUACUAGGAUUUCUGAAAAUUGGUUUCAGGAUUUAUAUAAGUCAGAUAUACCGUGUGAUGCGUUUUCAGAUUCAUCACUGGACAACUUCCUGUUUACCGAACACUUGCAUAUUUUUACACUAUUAAUAUUAUUCACUUGCGGCGGGGGUAUCAUCAGUGAGCAGUAGCUCGCAGUUUCACUUGUUUUACCUGUUUCUAAUCUUAUAAAAAUAUGCAGUACAUCGAAUCAAUAAAAACUUAUUUAAUCAUACCACAUCUCUUUUUUUAUUUAUCUAAAAUAUGCCUAAAUGAUCUGUGUAUUUUUUCUUCCUUCCAAGUCACCGAUCUUAAAGUUUGCUUGGUACUUCAUGCAUUACUAAAUAAACAGCUGCGCCAUGAGCUCAUGAUACGCCCGUCGUUUUAUGCAAUAAUCAUAAAUAGUUUCUGAGAUACAGCGUGACAUGUGAAAACACACCUUUUUUUAACAAAAAGCUCAAUAACUCUUAAAUAAAAUUUUGAAUCAUUACCAUCAAGUAUACAGAUCUUACGAUCAAUAUAACUAAGAAGUGAGUAAAGUUUUAACCAAUAAUCAUAAAAAAAAUUUGAGAUACAGCGCGACAAGUGAAAACAUACUUUUUUUUAACAAAAAACUAAAUAACUCUUAAUUAAAAUUUUGAAGCAUCACCAAAAAGAAUACAAAACUUAAAAUUAAUAUAACUAAGAAGUGUGUAACGUUUUAAGCAAUAAUCAUAAAUUGUUUUUGAGAUACGGCGCUACAUGUGACCCCCCCCCCUUUUUUUUUUACAAAAAACUCAAUAACUCUUAAUUAAAAUUUUGAAUCAAAACCAAAAAGUAUACAGAUAUUUAGAUUAUUAUAACUUAGAAGUUUGUUAAGUUUUGAGCAAUAAUCGUAAAUUGUUUUUGAGAUACGGCGCGACAUGUAAAAAAAACCUUCACCUUUUUUUUUACAAAAUACUAAAUAAUUCAAAUAUUCAAAAUUUUUAAUCAUCAUUAAAAUGUAUACAGAUCUUUAGAUAAAUAUAACUGAGAAGUGUAUUAAGUUUUAAUCAAUUAUCAUAAAUCGUUUUUGAGAUACAGCGCGACACAGGAAAAACACACCCCUGUUUUAGUUACUAAGUCCCGUAACUCAACAAAUUUUAAUCUUUUAAUUUUCACCAAAAAGUAUACAGAUCGUUUGACCAUCAUAAGAAACAACUAUAUUAAGUUUCAUGAAAUUUGGAUAAAGUGUUCUCAAGUUACGGUGCGACAUGUUUACACCGGAUAGACAGACGGAAAGACGGACGGACGGACGUACGCCGGACAUUUGUAUACCAUAAUACGUCCCGUCAAAAUUCAUUGGUACCAUUUAUACAAGAAGACAAUGAACUGUUACAUGCCUUAUUCAGUUCCACAAACAUAUAUUUACUUAUUUUGUACACAACAUUUUCAUCAUGAUGUACUUUAUGUAGCAGCAUAAUUAUAAUAUAAUUAAUUUUCAUCUAAUCGAAGGGAAGAUUUAUUUUUACAUUUGACAAGAGUACAUGUUCAUCUAGAAACCUUGAAACAUAAUAAAACCAUUUCGUACCCAUUGGAAGAUUUUUAUGUCUGUCAUCUCCAAUUGUAUGGAAGAUUUAUAUACGUAUGCAAUGGAAGGUUAUUUUCCGAAAAGUUAUCAAUUAUUUCCCUGUAAUUUCUCAAAUUAAAAAAAAACAAAACAUAUGGAGUUCUUUGAUUGGUCAUAUUCAGGUGCAAAUUUUUAUGUAAGUAUGUGUUCCUUCUUCAGUGAAUAUAAAAGAAGAAUAUUGUGGUUCAUCUCUUAACUCUAAGCCAAAUGUCAAUUGUAUUUGAUGUAAACAUGGUAAAGUGUGUCACCUUAAAACAACCUAUCCAAAUUAUAAUAAUUAUUUUUAAAGUUUUAUUUUACUUGAAUUCAAUAAAUGAUCAUGAUAAAGGUCUAGAUAUUCAUAUGUAAAGAUAACUAGUGUCUUUAUAGUCGUUAAUUGUAAAAUAUAUGCACAUAUAACAUCAAAUUUAAAGAUAAAAUUUCUUUGUAGGUAGAAGAAGCUUUAUCAGCAAUGGACAACUUAGAGUCAUCAAAGGUAUCAGGAUUAUAAUUUAGUACGCCAGACGCUCGUUUCGUCUACAUAAGACUCAUCAGUGAAUCUCAUACGAAAACAUUCAUAAAGCCAAACAAGCACAAAGUUGAUGAACAUUGAGGAUCCGAAAUUCCAAAAAGUUGUGCCAAAUACGGCCAAGGCAACCUAGAAGUUAAGAUUGACAAUUGAGAAUAAAAAUGAUAUAGAGAUCAAGAUAAAUAAGAGAGGAAAAUAUUUAAUCAUAGUUACAGGGUGUUUUUUUUUAUAAAAAGUAGCCUCACUAAUCAUAAUGGAAAAGACAGUUUAUCACAAGCAUUGCUACCAACCGAUCUUGACCCAGUCAUGGCUAUAUAUAUCUGUUUUGCUAUCAACGCUACUGAUAUUGGGAUUGUCUAUACAACACUGUUUCUAAAAUGAAUAUGUUGCUGAUAGAAGUACGCCUCCUAUUAGUAGUUACAGCAGAAGAUUACCUUACUACGCUUAAAGAAGUUUCAAGGCAUAAUAAACAGUCAAUAGGAAUAUAGACCAACUGUUUUGAUGUCUGAAAACUACAAGAUCACUUAUUAAACAUCUAUGAUGUGGAUAAAAACAGGGAAAAUACCAUAAUGUAUAAGACAGAACGAUAAUAGUAUGUGACUGAAUUCAGUCAUAGACUUAGAUUUAAAAUUUGUUUGUAUAUAUUGUAUAGAUAUUUCUACUGUACAAACCGAUGUACUUUAUAAUGUCAAUGAAUAAUGGUGCCAGUGACUGAAUUCAGUCAAGAUUUUCGUUAUUGUUAACAUUAAUAUGUAUAUUUAGAAUCAACUUGGAAUAAUUUUUCUAUAAUACUAUAAUCUAGUUUUGAAAAAGGAAGAUGAUUCUUGAUGUUUGUAAAUUGACUGAAUUCAGUCAACAGUUUUCUAAUGCACUUCUGUAAAAACUGUAUAUACCCCUCAGAGCAUUUACUUGUUGUGUAGGAUAUUGCACACACCCAACUGCUACCAAUCUCCAAUUUUUAAUGUAUUAUCAAUUGAAUAUUCAAUUAAUAAAUUAAGAUGAAAGUUGUAGUGCAAGAUGACUGAAUUCAGUCAUGACUUUGGUGUCAAAUAUGCAGUUUUUAUUCAUACAGAUAACUGGGACAAACAGAUUUUCAUCAAAAAUUAGUCACAAUUUAACAGUUUGAAUAAAACGUAAAUUCUCAUUUAUUUUGUUUUUGAACAUGCUAAAUAAAAUAUUGUUGAACUGUUUUCUUGGCUUCUUGCAUAUGUUACUGGUCCUAUUUGAAAAAAAGUAUAUAUUCAGCUUCAGAUUACACAAAUGGAAGCAAGUACCCAUUGUGCCUAAUAUAUUUUUCCAAAAAGGGACCGAAAUCCUCAGACUAAAAAAAUAGUAUAUGUACAUUUGCAAUCGUGUACUUCUAACAAAAUAGCUGAAAAUACGUAAGGACACGAUUUGCAUCAACAGGUGUCAAAUUCUUCUAAGAUAUGGGGAGAAACCUCAGUUAUCUAAAUUUUAAGGAGGUGUUAUUAAGCAGAUUCUUGCAUACUCUCCAUAUUUGACAAAUC